rnacentral:rRNA from 1 species
UGGGGAAUUUUGGACAAUGGGCGCAAGCCUGAUCCAGCCAUGCCGCGUGCGGGAAGAAGGCCUUCGGGUUGUAAACCGCUUUUGUCAGGGAAGAAAUCUUCUGAGUUAAUACCUCGGGAGGAUGACGGUACCUGAAGAAUAAGCACCGGCUAACUACGUGCCAGCAGCCGCGGUAAUACGUAGGGUGCAAGCGUUAAUCGGAAUUACUGGGCGUAAAGCGUGCGCAGGCGGUUUUGUAAGACAGAGGUGAAAUCCCCGGGCUCAACCUGGGAACUGCCUUUGUGACUGCAAGGCUUGAGUGCGGCAGAGGGGGAUGGAAUUCCGCGUGUAGCAGUGAAAUGCGUAGAUAUGCGGAGGAACACCGAUGGCGAAGGCAAUCCCCUGGGCCUGCACUGACGCUCAUGCACGAAAGCGUGGGGAGCAAACAGGAUUAGAUACCCUGGUAGUCCACGCCCUAAACGAUGUCAACUGGUUGUUGGGAAGGUUCCUUCUCAGUAACGUAGCUAACGCGUGAAGUUGACCGCCUGGGGAGUACGGCCGCAAGGUU